GGCAUCACUGUUUGAGGGUCAUGGGCAUGCGCACUAGAGCAGGAAGAGCUGGACUCCGUUUGACGCGGGUACCGAGAAGCUAGUUUCUUCCGUUUCAUUUUGGGGUUUUCUUCGAUUACACACAUAUUCUUGCAGGUGUAACGGCAGAAAUGGCCCGGGGGCACCAGAAGUUUCAGUCCCAGCAGAAAAACGCCAAAAAGCAGGCAGAGAUUAAGAAGGCCAAAGGACAUGACCAGAAAGCAGCAGCGAAGGCUGCUUUGGUAUACACCUGCGCUGUGUGCCGGACCCAAAUGCCAGACCCGAAAACCUUCAAGCAGCACUUUGAAAGCAAGCAUCCGAAGUCUCCUCUGCCGCCAGAGCUAGCAGGCGUGGAGGCGUGACGGGUCCACCGCUCUCCCUGUGAGGAAGUUGACGCUAAUUCAGGUUACUGUGGUUGCUGAUGUUUAGUAUCUCCAGAAUAUGAAGGACUGAAGACCACCACCCUGCCCUCUUGCACAAUACUCUACUAUUGGGUGGUUGCAGUAUUUUUAGAGUUUGAUCAUUCCGAGCAUUUAAGUGUACAUUUCAAAUCUGCCCCCCUACAGAAAAAAACUUUAGAGAUAGCAGACGCUGAGUCUAAAAAUGAAUCUCUGAAAGAGGAAGUGAUUCAGAUCCAGAGUUCUGGAUGUUGAGCAGUACUUUAUUAGGCGGGUUUGACCCAAUGAUUUGAACAGAAUGACUGAAUCUCAAUAGGGCUGCCACGAUUAGUCCACGAUUAGUCGACUAAUCGACUAUUAAAAUUGUCGACGAUCAAUUUAAUAGUCGAUUAGUCAUUAAUUUAUACUAUAUGGAGUCGGAGUGUGGUAAAGUUGAAA